rnacentral:rRNA from 1 species
CUGGCGGCGUGCCUAAUACAUGCAAGUCGAACGGUCUUUCUAUGGAAGCUUGCUCCACUGAGAAGAUAGUGGCGAACGGGUGAGUAACACGUGGGGUAACCUGCCCAUAAGAGGGGGGAUAACAUCCGGAAACGGGUGCUAAUACCGCAUAGUUUCUUGAUCGCAUGAUCGGGAAAGGAAAGACGGCCUUUGUGCUGUCGCUUAUGGAUGGACCCGCGGCGUAUUAGUUAGUUGGUGAGGUAACGGCUCACCAAGACGAUGAUACGUAGCCGACCUGAGAGGGUGAUCGGCCACAUUGGGACUGAGACACGGCCCAAACUCCUACGGGAGGCAGCAGUAGGGAAUCUUCCGCAAUGGACGAAAGUCUGACGGAGCAACGCCGCGUGAGUGAAAGAAGGUUUUCGGAUCGUAAAACUCUGUUGUCAGAGAAGAACAAGUUGGAGAGUAACUGCUCCAGCCUUGACGGUAUCUGACCAGAAAGCCACGGCUAACUACGUGCCAGCCGCGGC